rnacentral:rRNA from 1 species
CAUGCAGUCGAGCGAAUGGAUUAAGAGCUUGCUCUUAUGAAGUUAGCGGCGGACGGGUGAGUAACACGUGGGUAACCUGCCCAUAAGACUGGGAUAACUCCGGGAAACCGGGGCUAAUACCGGAUAACAUUUUGAACUGCAUGGUUCGAAAUUGAAAGGCGGCUUCGGCUGUCACUUAUGGAUGGACCCGCGUCGCAUUAGCUAGUUGGUGAGGUAACGGCUCACCAAGGCAACGAUGCGUAGCCGACCUGAGAGGGUGAUCGGCCACACUGGGACUGAGACACGGCCCAGACUCCUACGGGAGGCAGCAGUAGGGAAUCUUCCGCAAUGGACGAAAGUCUGACGGAGCAACGCCGCGUGAGUGAUGAAGGCUUUCGGGUCGUAAAACUCUGUUGUUAGGGAAGAACAAGUGCUAGUUGAAUAAGCUGGCACCUUGACGGUACCUAACCAGAAAGCCACGGCUAACUACGUGCCAGCAGCCGCGGUAAUACGUAGGUGGCAAGCGUUAUCCGGAAUUAUUGGGCGUAAAGCGCGCGCAGGUGGUUUCUUAAGUCUGAUGUGAAAGCACACGGCUCAACCGUGGAGGGUCAUUGGAAACUG